GGUUUCAUGGUCGAGUGGUAAGGACACUUGCCUUUCACCUUGGAGUCUCGGGUUCGAUCCCCGGCCGAGGAGCUA
rnacentral:tRNA from 1 species